CAGCCGCCACGGUAAUACGUAGGUGGCAAGCGUUGUCCGGAAUUAUUGGGCGUAAAGCGCGCGCAGGCGGUCUUUUAAGUCUGAUGUGAAAGCCCACGGCUCAACCGUGGAGGGUCAUUGGAAACUGGAGGACUUGAGUGCAGAAGAGGAGAGUGGAAUUCCACGUGUAGCGGUGAAAUGCGUAGAUAUGUGGAGGAACACCAGUGGCGAAGGCGGCUCUCUGGUCUGUAACUGACGCUGAGGCGCGAAAGCGUGGGGAGCAAACAGGAUUAGAUACCCCCGUAGUCCCUGUCUCUUAUAC
rnacentral:rRNA from 1 species